rnacentral:tRNA from 1 species
UCCCUGGUGGCUCAGAUGGUAAAGCAUCUGCCUACAAUGCAGGAGACCUAGGUUCAAUCCCUGGGUUGGGAA